GAUGAACGCUGGCGGCGUGCCUAAUACAUGCAAGUCGAGCGAACAGACGAGGAGCUUGCUCCUCUGACGUUAGCGGCGGACGGGUGAGUAACACGUGGAUAACCUACCUAUAAGACUGGGAUAACUUCGGGAAACCGGAGCUAAUACCGGAUAAUAUAUUGAACCGCAUGGUUCAAUAGUGAAAUACGGUUUUGCUGUCACUUAUAGAUGGAUCCGCGCCGCAUUAGCUAGUUGGUAAGGUAACGGCUUACCAAGGCAACGAUGCGUAGCCGACCUGAGAGGGUGAUCGGCCACACUGGAACUGAGACACGGUCCAGAGUCCUACGGGAGGCAGCCGUAGGGAAUCUUCCGCAAUGGGCGAAGGCCUGACGGAGCAACGCCGCGUGAGUGAUGAAGGUCUUCGGAUCGUAAAACUCUGUUAUUAGGGAAGAACAAAUGUGUAAGUAACUAUGCACGUCUUGACGGUACCUAAUCAGAAAGCCACGGCUAACUACGUG
rnacentral:rRNA from 1 species